AUGGCGAUCAUCCGCGAGCGACAGGCCGCCGCCAAGGAGGCCAAAGGCUACGGCAACGACUUGCUUGGUCUGAUGCUCGAGGCCAACACGUCGGCCGGAGCAGGCGGGCAGAAGGUUGCCGCCAUGAGCAUGGACGACAUCAUCGACGAGUGCAAGACCUUCUUCUUCGCCGGGCACGACACCACCGCGCACCUCCUCACCUGGGCUAUCUUCCUCCUCGGCACACACCCCGAAUGGCAGCAGAAGCUCAGGGAGGAGGUCCUCCGAGAAUGUGGCGGCACGGGGACGCCGCUGCACGGCGACGCGCUCAACAAGCUCAAGCUCACGACAAUGGUGCUAUACGAGACGCUGAGGCUGUACGGCGCGGUGAUCAUGAUCGCCAGGCAGACGAUGGCGGACACGGAGCUCGGCGGCGUGAAGAUCCCCAAGGGCACGAUCACCAUGAUACCUACGGCGAUGAUGCACCGGGACGAGGAGGUGUGGGGCGCGGACGCCGGCGAAUUCAAGCCGGACCGGUUCCGGAACGGCGUGGGCAGGGCGGCCAAGCACCCAAGCGCAAUACUGGCGUUCGCCAUCGGCCCGCGGUCAUGCAUCGGGCAGGACUUCGCAAUGCUGGAGGCGAAGGCGACGCUCGUCGUGAUCCUGCGCCGGUUCGAGUUCGAGAUCGCGCCCGAGUACGUGCACGCGCCGGUCGAGUUCCUGACGCUGCAGCCCAAGUGCGGGCUCCCCGUGCUGCUUAAGCUCCUGGAUCAGUAG
rnacentral:rRNA from 1 species